rnacentral:lncRNA from 10 species
CAAUAAUAUGAAAGAAUCAAAACUCAUAUUACUAAAAUAUAUACCAUUAUUGUUUAAAAAAACAUAAAAAUAAUGAAGCAGAAGAAAAUAAAAUACUUUUAAAAUUAAAGUCCAUUUAAAGAACUAAAAUAAAGAACAUUAACUUUCUUUGGUAAUCAGUGACAUAAAAACACCCUGGGCCAUGCUUUUGUGAGGAUGAUAUAUUAAUCAUAAGAAACGUUGCCUCAGCCUUGAACCAGAAGGCCCCUUUUUAAUAAAUUAGUUUUCUGGUGCCUUCUUCUGGAUAAAGCAGGCCCAAUGGAGAAAUCUGUCUAGUGGGCAUUAAACAAGUGGUGAUGCAGAAGGCACUUUCUUUUAUGUUCUGCCUAACUUUUAAUCAUCAGUCUAAAAGCUUUUUACAAAGCCAUUGGAUAGUCCCCCGUGGUUAACACAACUAUAUCAAAGUACAGUACUGUAAAAUCUUUCUGAAUAGUGCUGGGGUAAGAGGAUGGGGACUGAGUCAGGAGCCCAGAUAUCCUGCUUACCUUCAUUAGGAUCUGGAUAGCUGGAUUCACGUUACCAAAACUGACCAUGCCUUUCGUGAGUGUGUGUGUGUGUGUAUGUGUGUGCCAGUGUGUGUGUGUGUGGUUCCUCUUGUUAUACUUUCUGAUGUGAGUGAGUACACUUUUUAUCACUUUUUGGAGGCAGAGCUCUGUCUUCUCCUAAUGACCUCAGGACACUAGUAACAAUUAUCCUUGACAUUGGUAUAAAACUCCAGAUGUUUAAAAGCCAUGUAUAUUUAUGGAUUUAUGAGCACCUGCUUCCAGCCUUUUGAAGUCAAUUUCAGAUUUGAGGUAGGUGUCUGAGACCCGAAGAGUACAUGGUUUGACCAACGCCAUAUUACCCAAUAAAGUAGAAUUACUGGGAUUAGAAGCCAGGUAUCCUCACUUUUUCCAAAACUGUACCAAGCCCUCAGUGUUAGACAGCCUCUUCUAGUUGAAUGCUUUCGUCGUGUGUAGGUUUGGGAUUGGAGAAUUUAUUUGGGAAAAGGCCAUUUCUCUGAAGCAUUCCAAUUUUGUGAAGUACUAAAAAGUAAAAUUUCUAUCAUAAAUAUACAGCAGGGUACAAAGUGUUUAUACUUUUCAACUUAUGUAAUUUUUUUCUUUUACUUUUUUCUAUUUUAACCUGCUAAUCAUUUAAUUUUCAUCUCACAUCACCAAGAUUGGGUAAGUUAGAAGACUAAAAUGAUACUUUCACAUUAACAUUUAGGAUUUCCUUAUUUUAACACAAUUUUUGUAAAAUUUAGGAAAUUCUGAAGCAUGAGGACACAUAAAAGGAACGUAAUGAGUUUUAAAGGUCUAUAGAUCUGGGUUCUGUCAUUUAUUAGCUGUUUCAUUGUGAAGACAUGAUUUAACUUCUUUGACUCUUGUUUCUCUCACCUGUAAAAUUAGAAUAGUAAUACCUGACUCAAACAAUUGUCAGGAUGUUUAAAAGCCAUCAUAUAAUUAAAACGUCUAGCAUGGUGUGUAGCUUAUAGGUUUUCAAGUAAUGGUAGCUACUAUUAGUAUUGUUAUUUUUGUUAAGUUGCUUUUAGCAAGGAUUUUUUGUCAAGAACACAUGCAUUUGCAUACAUUAGAAUAUCUUUUAAGAGUACUUUGUCUUUGGGUAUAAUUUAUUUGAACUCUUCAGAGUAUAUUUGAAACAUAAUUAUUUCUUUAUCAGAUGAAGAAUCUGAGGCACAAAGAGGUCAACUGGCUUGCCCAAGGGUACUUGGCAGGUCUCAAAAACAUCUUCUACCAUAUUGGAACAGAAAAAAAUGAAGACAAUGAGCAUAUCCUCUUACACAUGACUUCUAUUGAAAUGUUUCCAAAUCUUAAAUGCUAUAAUAUUUGCUUUGUUCCUUAUCAACUUUUACAAACAAAUCUUUAGAAACUGCUUUACAAAAAUAAUAUAUGUUCCCAUUUAUUUAUAUGUUCAUUGCUUACCUCCAUUCACUAGAAUGUAAGCUCCAUGAUGGGAGAAAUACUGUCAGCAUAUUUUCAUUUCAUUGUAUAUCCUUAAUACUUUGAGUAAUGAAUAGAUGAGUGAAACGUGUAGAAUUUAGUAAGUAUAAAUAUGCAAAAAUAAAACUUUCAAUUUAACGUACCCAUUUUAAAUACCGUAUAUAGUUUUUUUACAAAAAUGUGAUAAUGCUGUUUUGUAAUAAGUUCUUUUUUUAAAUUUUAACAAUAUAAAUGAACAUUUUUGCAUGUCAAUAAAUAUUUGUCUUUUUAAAUGUAUGGGUAACAUUUCCAUAUACAAAUAUGACAUAAUUUAUUUUUUGUUGUUGGGCAUUUACAUUGUUUUCAGUUGCUCUAUAUUAUAGGCAAUGCUUCAGUCUUUGCAUGUAUCCAUAACACUUCUCUUUGGCUACAUUACUAGAAGUAGAGUUUGCAUUUCAUGGAUUUUAAUUACAAGAAUUGCCAAGUUGUCUUCCAGAAAGAUGCUGCUAAUUUGUACAAUAAGCAGCAUUGUAGGAGAGGGUUCAUUUUCCUGAACUUUAACCUCACUAAUAUUUUCUUUCAUUAUAAUUCAUAUUGUUAUUUUAAAAUCUUCACAAAUUUGGUAAAAGUGGGAUCUUCUUUUAUGAUUUGCAUUAAUUUUAUUGCAAAUGAGCUUUUACUGUUUUCUUAUGCUUAUUAUUUAAUUUGUUUUAUUAAUUUUUCUCUUGGUACUCUUUCUUAUUAAGCUAUUAAUAGGACAAAGUAGAAAAUAACUAUUUCUCAAAUUCUUUUGAUUCGUAAGACAUCAAUUAAAAAAAAAAGAAACCCAAACCAGCAUGCCUACUUCAUCCUGUGUUGUGAGACAUGGCUAUGUGUGUCUAGGGUAUUCCAGUUUCCCGAAGCAUAGUAAGUGGAAAGUGACUUGGUAAAACAUAAAAACAGUAAGAUGGAUUAAAGCCAGACAAUGGAAGAGUUAAACUUUAUGCUAAUGAGUUAUGACUUGAAUCAGCAGGCAGUUACUAUGAAAGAAUGUACAAUUUAGCCAUCCCAAGUUGUUAUAUCUUGAUGAGUGAAUAGCUUACUACUUUUGCAGCAAUAUGUAGUUUUUAAAGUAAUUUUUCUGUUAACAGGAAGGGAUAAUUUGGACAGGGUAGUGGGAAAAAGAUCAGCUUAAAGUUUUUCUUACCUUAUCUAAUUUCUCCCACCCAGAAUUAAUGCCACUCUCCUUUCUGUUCCCUUGGUACUUUCUUCCAUUAUAGCACUAGCCACAUGCAAUUGCAGCACGUAACAUCAGUAUUAUUUCUGUAUGCAUCUGUGGUGCCUACUCUAAGGCACAGUCCAAAAGGGCCUUUUCUGUUUUGUGUGUUCCCAUCCUGCUGAAUGGAUGGUUUGGUUCAAUAAAGUCGUAUUAACAUCAGAAGACCGAAUUGCAUUUCUUGUCUUGUUGGCCAGAAAGCUGAUUCCUGUCCAUGAUUACUUGAAAUGUGGAUUUGGUUUAGCUAAUCAUAUCUUUUCUCAUUGUAGUUAACUAGAAAGAAGAAAUUACAGUAACAAGUAAUUGUUUCUUUAUCGUUGUUUAAAAGUUUAUUCUGAUUGAGGGCUGAAGUGCUUUUCUUACUCUGCCUUAUUAAACACCUAAAUUUUCUCUUUCAAAAUGUCAUUUUGUGAAAGGAUCAAGAAUACUACAUAAAUGAUAGAAUCUACUUUAUGGCACUGUGCUUGUAGAAAUGUUAUGCUUAGUUAAAAUUGAGAUACUCUAUAUGGGAGGAGAGCUCAUAUUGAUUUGGGGUAUAUAAUACAAAGUAAAAUGAGAUGAUAGAAAGAAACAAUGCAUAGGAAAGAAAACCUAUUGAUUUCUCUUCUCUUGAGCAUGAACCCACACAUAGCUACUCAAAUAUUUGUGCCUUAUACUAUUGGAAAUACAUAACACAAAAUAAAAUAACAGCCAUUAUAAAUGAUCUAGAAAAGGCUCAUUCUGAGUAACACAGCAAAGAAUUCCUCUUCAUUCAACUGUGUCUAUUUCUGUAAUGUUUUAGAACUUUUUCUCCUAAUGUUAGAACUGAGACAUUAAUAACUAGAUAAAUCAUAUAUGGAAUUAAUUGUGUUCCUUCAGAAGCAGCUGCUGGAUCACACACCCAGAAAUUAAUACUUAGCAGCUUAAAAUUUUACCUUUCCUCCCUUGAUGUGUGACUUUGGGAUUCUUACUUAACCCCAUUGCUUUCUAAUUUGCACAUGUAUUUGCACAUGGUUUUUGCAAAUAAGUGUUGAGAAUUCAAGUUAAAUAUGAGAGAGGGAUUCAAGUUGUGUUCUUUUUUGAGUUUCUGAACUUCCAGGCUUCAAAUUUCAGGCUUCAAGAAAGGUGCUAAGUAUGUCUUCCCUAAAUAUAUUAUUACCUAACAGUGAUUAUCUUCCCUCUGUGUAUUAAAAAGUACAUAGUCUUAGGAUUUUUGUCUUUUUUUAACUGUAUUUCAGAAUGUCCUAGGAUUGAUUUAAAAUGACGCAAAUAAUCUGUAACUUUUUGUUUGAAUAAAGAAUUCAACAUCUUCAU